rnacentral:rRNA from 1 species
UACGUAGGGGGCAAGCGUUGUUCGGAAUUACUGGGCGUAAAGCGCGCGUAGGCGGUCUGAAAAUUCAGAUGUGAAAGCCCCGGGCUCAACUUGGGAACUGCAUUUGAUACUGUCAGACUAGAGUACAGAAGAGGUGACUGGAAUUCCCAGUGUAGCGGUGAAAUGCGUAGAUAUUGGGAGGAACACCAGAUGCGAAGGCGGGUCACUGGGCUGAUACUGACGCUGAAGUGCGAAAGCCAGGGGAGCGAACGGG